ACUAACCAGGACAGAAAUGAUUAUCUUAGCCACUAGAACACAGAAUGUUCUUGGUGAGAAGGGCCAGUGGAUUCGGGAACUCACUGCUGUAGUUCAGAAGACGUUUGGCUUUCCAGAGGGCAGUGUAGAGCUUUAUGCUGACAAGGUGGCCACUAGGGGUCAUGACAUUGCCCAGGCAGAGUCUCUGCGUUACAAGUUCCUAGGAGGGCUUGCUGUGAGGAGGGCCUGGCUAUGGUGUGUUGCAGUUCAUCAUGGAGAGUGGGGCUAAAGACUGUGAGGUGGUGGUGUCUGGGAAACUCCAAGGACAGAGGACUAAAUCCAUGAAGUUUGUGGGUGGCCUGAUGAUCCACAGCGGAGACCCUGUUAAUUACUACAUUGAUACUGCCGUGCGCCAUGUGUUGCUCAGAUAGGGUGUGCUGGGCAUCAAGGUGAAGAUCAAGCUGUCCUGGGACCCAACUGGUAAGAUUGGCCCUAAGAAACCCCUGCCUGACCACAUGAGCAUCAUGGAACCCAAAGAUGAGAUACUGCCCACCACCCCAUCUCAGAACAGAAGGGUGGGAAGCCAGAGCCACCUGCCAUGCCGCAGCCAGUCCCCACAGCAUAACAGGGUCUCCUUGGCAGCUGUAUUCUGGAGUCUCAAUGUUGCUCUGUAAAGACCUUUAAUAAAAUAUUGCAGAAAGACA